rnacentral:lncRNA from 1 species
GUGGAAUGGUUUAUGCGGAUGCAAUUUAAACUACCAGCAAAUCUUGAUAUCAUUCAAGAUACGACAGGACACUCCCCAUCAUGCAUAUCUGACUGAUGACAAUCAAUCACAUUGAUUUAUGACUCGUGAACUUGUCGUUAAUGAUCAGAAUAACAGGCGGUCUUCUGGAUGAGAGAGUAAGCUGCGGCUAUAUAUGUGUCAAAUCAAAUCAGACAGAAGGGGAAAUUGUAGCAAAGCAAACAAGGUCACUGUCCCAGAAGCAAAAGCAGCAAUUGGAAUAGUGAUUCGAGCAUAAUUGUGACCAAGGAGGAUGAAAACGGUGGCCCAUCGUGGUAGCUAUGGAGACAAACAGGUUUCCAAGUCCUAACACCAGCCUGUUUGGCAACGGAUGCAGAAAAUGUUCCUCUGCAUAAUGUGAUGUCAAAAAUGGAAAGGAACUAAAACUGAAGUAGCAGAGGAAAAGACAGCCGGUGUGGCUAGUAUCCAUAGGAGGGGUAAAUGGUCGUUUGACCGAUCCAUUAGCCCAGUAGAUCUUAUCAGCCUUUCCAGGCUGAU